rnacentral:rRNA from 1 species
UUGGAGGGCAAGUCUGGUGCCAGCAGCCGCGGUAAUUCCAGCUCCAAUAGCGUAUAUUAAAGUUGUUGCAGUUAAAAAGCUCGUAGUUGAAUUUCGGGAUCAGAUUGUCGGUCGUGCCUCGGUACGCACUGGUAUUAUUGGUUCCUACCUUCUGAAGAACCGCGAUGUCAUUAAUUUGGUGUCGUGGGGAAUCAGGACUGUUACUUUGAAAAAAUUAGAGUGUUUAAAGCAGGCUUACGCUUGAAUACAUUAGCAUGGAAUAAUGAAAUAGGACGUUUGAUUCUAUUUUGUUGGUUUCUAGGAUUGACGUAAUGAUUAAUAGGGAUAGUUGGGGGCAUUAGUAUUCAAUUGUCAGAGGUGAAAUUCUUGGAUUUAUUGAAGACUAACUACUGCGAAAGCAUUUGCCAAGGAUGUUUUCAUUAAUCAAGAACGAAAGUUAGGGGAUCGAAGGCGAUCAGAUACCGUCGUAGUCUUAACCAUAAACUAUGCCGACUAGGGAUCGGAUGAUGUUAAUUUUUUAAUGACUCAUUCGGCGCCUUACGGGAAAC